rnacentral:rRNA from 1 species
GUUACUUCAAAGGAUAUUUAACUUAAACCCCCUACGCAUUUAUAUAGAGGAGAUAAGUCGUAACAUGGUAAGUGUACUGGAAAGUGCACUUGGACGAAC